GAUGAACGCUGACGGCGUGCCUAAUACAUGCAAGUCGAGCGAACGGACGAGAAGCUUGCUUCUCUGAUGUUAGCGGCGGACGGGUGAGUAACACGUGGAUAACCUACCUAUAAGACUGGGAUAACUUCGGGAAACCGGAGCUAAUACCGGAUAAUAUUUUGAACCGCAUGGUUCAAAAGUGAAAGACGGUCUUGCUGUCACUUAUAGAUGGAUCCGCGCUGCAUUAGCUAGUUGGUAAGGUAACGGCUUACCAAGGCAACGAUGCAUAGCCGACCUGAGAGGGUGAUCGGCCACACUGGAACUGAGACACGGUCCAGACUCCUACGGGAGGCAGCAGUAGGGAAUCUUCCGCAAUGGGCGAAAGCCUGACGGAGCAACGCCGCGUGAGUGAUGAAGGUCUUCGGAUCGUAAAACUCUGUUAUUAGGGAAGAACAUAUGUGUAGGUAACUGUGCACAUCUUGACGGUACCUAAUCAGAAAGCCACGGCUAACUACGUG
rnacentral:rRNA from 1 species